UGGGGAAUAUUGGACAAUGGGGGGAACCCUGAUCCAGCCAUGCCGCGUGUGUGAAGAAGGCCUUAUGGUUGUAAAGCACUUUAAGCGAGGAGGAGGCUCUCUUGGUUAAUACCCAAGAAGAGAGGACGUUACUCGCAGAAUAAGCACCGGCUAACUCUGUGCCAGCAGCCGCGGUAAUACAGAGGGUGCGAGCGUUAAUCGGAUUUACUGGGCGUAAAGCGUGCGUAGGCGGCUUUUUAAGUCGGAUGUGAAAUCCCCGAGCUUAACUUGGGAAUUGCAUUCGAUACUGGGAAGCUAGAGUAUGGGAGAGGAUGGUAGAAUUCCAGGUGUAGCGGUGAAAUGCGUAGAGAUCUGGAGGAAUACCGAUGGCGAAGGCAGCCAUCUGGCCUAAUACUGACGCUGAGGUACGAAAGCAUGGGGAGCAAACAGG
rnacentral:rRNA from 1 species